rnacentral:tRNA from 29 species
GGCGCGUUGGUGAAGUGACUUAACACACACGCCUUUCACGCGUGCAUUCACGGGUUUGAAUCCCGUACGCGUCACCA